UGACAUCCUCGUAUGCAGCCUGUAGCGCUUCUCUUAACAGCGUUGCCUGUUUGUGGAGCAUAAUGGCACUGUAUCGGUUACAGAGAGUUAAUGGUUAUUUUUUUUGUUUCUGUGCUUUUUUUCCAUCUGCCUUGGACAAACACAGUCAUUCUUAAUCUGCUGUGUGGAGCAUUUUGUGACGAAAACAAGUUGCUUGAGCAGUGAUUGGUGAUAAAUGGUUUUCUUCUUCAGUUAAUGACAUGAAAAACAUUUAGUCAUGACGCAGGAGUUUUUUCGCCACUUCCCAACAAUACAACUGGAUGACUAUGAAGAGCCAGUUAAAAGUGAUACUGUGCAUUUGUUAUGUUUUGCAUAACGAUGUACUGUGUCUUAGGCAGUCAAAGAAAAUGUUGUUUACACAAUCUUCAUGUUGGAUGUCAAUGUGUGGCAGCUUCACCAUUUUGAAACCUCUACUAACAUUGAUCCAGGAUUUGCAGCAAUUCACCCAUGUAUUUUUUCGACUUUUGAGUAAGAAAGAUCUGUUUUGAUCUGUUUCGCAUUAGUAUGUCCCGAGGAAGAAUGUCGGUGUAGAUCAAAACCACCUAAUCUAUUUCCUCUGCCUUCAGAAAAGGCUUCUCUAGUUUUCCAGUAAUUGGUGACUGUCAGCUGUUUAAAUAUUAUUGAUUUCAUUGUUUUGUCAACUGGAAUAAUGGUACAGAAUGCUUGUCUUAGGAAAGGUAAACAUAACUGUUGCAGGAUGCAAAAGUUCCCCGGAAACACGAUUCAUGAGACUGUUUUUGAUGUUCACAAACAAAUCAUGAUAUAUUUUUCCACACAUAGUUUCAACCACCCACAAACUGCAUAAUUAAGAAAGGUAAUCUUUCAGUUCAACUGGUUUCAUUAUGCAUACAAUCCAGUUCCCAUAUACCUCUGCUUGAGGUCCAUUCAAUUCAUUCGAAAAAAAAAAAAAAAAAAUUAUAAUAAUAUAUUAUAGUAGCCCAUUGGCAAUGAUCUCUUCUCAUGCAAGCUUGGCUGGACUGGCUAUCUGGCUUAUGGUAAUUUACUGGUGGGCUGGCAAAAUUUACUGAGAGGGACCCCAUCCACACAGCAAAAUAUUAUCCCCAUAAAUGGUCUGACGAUGCCCUUCUCGUGGGGCCAUCGGAGACCCCAAAGUUCAGGGCCACAUCAAGACCAAUCCUGCGCAUGAAUUAAGGAGGAAGCUGUCUAGCUUAACACUUUGAAGUGGUGCGUAUGGAUUACUGAAACCCUGAAAAAAAAAUGGUUGGUCUUUACAGCCUUUUUACUGAUGGUGUAGCUCAGCAUUUCCCAACCUGGUCUUCAGGGACCUACAGACAGUCUAAGUAGUUCAAUAUUGGCACCACUCUGAGCUAGCGUGUCGUCUCUUACCUGAGCUCCUCUUGGGGGUCUGAUAGAAAAAGCUCAGCAGCACGGAUGGCAUCAUGACGGAGAUGAGGCAUAGAGCAAUGAUGAUAUACACAUACAAGAAGGAUUCUGAAGUGGCCUCCUGGAACUCAUUUCCGUUACUUCUGUAUGGUGGAGAAGAAUCUGAAGAUCACAGGUGAACAAAUUGUUAGGGAAUUUUAACGUCAAACCAUUUUCCUGUACUGGCUCAAGCUGCUGCAUAUUUAGCUAUUCAUAAUCAUCUUUAAAACAAUACUGUUUUUAUAUAAUUUAAUAUUGUACAGAAUUUUAUAAAGUAUUAACAGUACAUUUAACUACAUCAAUCUAAAUGAUCAUUUGGAACAACAUUUAACAUUUACAUUUAACACACUUAGCAGAUUACUAUUUAUGAAUCUUCCUAGCUUGUGAAUUGAACUCAGAUAAACCCUUUUCCCCAGUGUGCACUUCAGAUACUUGUAAAGUUAGUAAAAUGUGAGUGUUAUAUGGUCUGUUAAUGGGGAAAUUUGACAUACCUGUCGUAAGCUCUUGGAAAUGGACAACGAGAGACACUGAAUUGCUCUCAUGAAAAAAUGGCGAGUUGUAGAAGAAAGUGACAGAGUAAUUCCCAGAAUCUGCCAUAGUCAGAUUCGAGAUGCUCACAAUUGCUCCUUGGGAAUUGUUUGUCAAUAAACCACGUGUGAAAAUGCA